rnacentral:rRNA from 1 species
GAGRAACGGGGUCUAAUACCGGAUAUGACCAUCUUGGGCAUCCUUGAUGGUGUAAAGCUCCGGCGGUGAAGGAUGAGCCCGCGGCCUAUCAGCUUGUUGGUGAGGUAAUGGCUCACCAAGGCGACGACGGGUAGCCGGCCUGAGAGGGCGACCGGCCACACUGGGACUGAGACACGGCCCAGACUCCUACGGGAGGCAGCAGUGGGGAAUAUUGCACAAUGGGCGAAAGCCUGAUGCAGCGACGCCGCGUGAGGGAUGACGGCCUUCGGGUUGUAAACCUCUUUCAGCAGGGAAGAAGCGAAAGUGACGGUACCUGCAGAAGAAGCGCCGGCUAACUACGUGCCAGCAGCCGCGGUAAUACGUAGGGCGCAAGCGUUGUCCGGAAUUAUUGGGCGUAAAGAGCUCGUAGGCGGCUUGUCACGUCGAUUGUGAAAGCCCGAGGCUUAACCUCGGGUCUGCAGUCGAUACGGGCUAGCUAGAGUGUGGUAGGGGAGAUCGGAAUUCCUGGUGUAGCGGUGAAAUGCGCAGAUAUCAGGAGGAACACCGGUGGCGAAGGCGGAUCUCUGGGCCAUUACUGACGCUGAGGAGCGAAAGCGUGGGGAGCGAACAGGAUUAGAUACCCUGGUAGUCCACGCCGUAAACGGUGGGAACUAGGUGUUGGCGACAUUCCACGUCGUCGGUGCCGCAGCUAACGCAUUAAGUUCCCCGCCUGGGGGAGUACGGCCGCAAGGCUAAAACUCAAAGGAAUUGACGGGGGGCCCGCACAAGCGGCGGAGCAUGUGGCUUAAUUCGACGCACGSGAAGAAACCUUACCAAGGCUUGACAUACACCSGGAAACGUCUGGAGACAGGGCGCCCCCUUUGGUGGUCGGUGUA